rnacentral:rRNA from 1 species
AUUGAACGCUGGCGGCAUGCUUUACACAUGCAAGUCGAACGGGGUUGGGAGCUUGCUUCCAAUCUAGUGGCGAACGGGUGAGUAAUACAUCGGAACGUACCGUGUAGUGGGGGAUAACGUAGCGAAAGUUACGCUAAUACCGCAUACGAUCCACGGAUGAAAGCAGGGGACCUUCGGGCCUUGUGCUAUACGAGCGGCCGAUGUCUGAUUAGCUAGUUGGUGAGGUAAAGGCUCACCAAGGCGACGAUCAGUAGCGGGUCUGAGAGGAUGAUCCGCCACACUGGGACUGAGACACGGCCCAGACUCCUACGGGAGGCAGCAGUGGGGAAUUUUGGACAAUGGGCGCAAGCCUGAUCCAGCCAUGCCGCGUGUCUGAAGAAGGCC